CCUGCCUAGAGGUCAUGUGGAGUCUGUAGGCAGACUGGUGUGUAGUUCAGGGCAUGGCUAAGUGCAGCACCAUUCACAAAAGGCAAUGUGUUAAGAAGCCUGUUCCUGGCUCUAUACCAUCAUGAUUUUGUUGCAGGAAACAUCUAUGCUAAACAUCACUGUCAAUUCCAAGACAAGAGACACAUUCAAAAGCACAUGUAAACUUUUUUUGUUACCAUAAGUUGCCCGCAGAGAGUCCAUUCAUUCUGUUUGCUUGUUCCACUGUGUAAUAGCUCAACUCAAGUAUCAACAAGAUAAGCUUUUAAAAGCAGAAUAUUCCCAGCUGUUGCGGUCAGGCAGCAGCAGCAGGUUCCUAUCUGAGGACAGCAGAACAAUCCAGUGCACUCGCAGUGAUGGCAGUGUCGAGGGGAAGCAUGUGUUCUCUGUACACAGUAGCGAAGGGUCCAAUAGACAGCAAUUAGCACCAGCAGAAUGAAGAUGAACGGUCAUAUACAUAACCUUAAUAAAAAUGUCACAGAAGAGAAAUCUCACACCAUAUGGAUCCAUGCUGAACUUUUUUUCCUUUUUUUUUUUUUUUUUUAGGAGCAAGACAGCAAGACAGCUCCAUUUCUUUAUGGUCUUCUGCAUUAGUUUCUCUCCCUAGUUUUUUGCAGCCUUCUUCCUCCCUAAGCAACAUGCAGCUGCUGAUUCAUGUGAUAACAAAAGAAGAUUAUAUUUUCAUUUCUGUAUUU